CCAUGUUGGGAAGGUCGCGGCCGUUCCCGCCUCAGGGGCGCUGAGGGACGCGGGGCCGCGGCAGAGCGGGACCGUCGCAAAAAGCCGGUUUGACGUGGAAAUCGAGAGAAAGCGGUUUAAAACAGGAAUGACGUGGAAAACACAACAGGAACAGGCAUGAGGAGAAAAGCUGGUGAAGAGCAGCCUGGAAAGCAAAAUAUUUUUAGGGGUAUGCCUUCAUUUAAGGGAUCAUUCGUGUUUAUUCCGUGCUCUGUGCUGGAGGUCUGGUGGAUCAAAAAUUCCUUGGGCUUUUAAUGAAUCACCCCACAGGCCUGGCAUAUCCCGGGAUCUCCACAGGGGGAAGGUCCUGCAGAAAGGUGGAUUUAGGUGAGCCACCAGGAAAAUCCCACGGGAGUAGGAUGUGACAGUUCUGGAAGGGCCUCGGGACAGCAGAGUGUGAGGUUUUAGGAGCAGGUUGGACAAAGCACGGCUCAGGAAUGCUGCAGGUGCAGCCGCUCCUGCCUCGGGCAGCGGGGUGGGUGAUGGCAUUCCCGGAGUCCCAUCCAGGUGCGCAUUUCCAAGGCUGCAUGGUGCUGAUGGAUUUGGAAUGGGCUGCUCCAUCCGUGGGAUUGGGAAAGUGCCCCCCAUCCCUGAGUCGGUGGCUGUGGAGUGCUGGGACGUGUGGUCUUUUUUGCAGAAGGCAUCCAGGAACAAAGCCUCUCAGGAACAGCAUGGAUAUUCAUUUGGGAUGGACUGGAAAUGAUCCAAAAAGGCCUCGUUUCCCACUGUGAACAAACUAACACUUUCUUUUUGGAAAACUGAGCAUUAGUGCGUGCCUCUCUAGGUUCUCCUGGAUAUCCAGGCUGUGCUGGGCCAGAAUCCUACGUGAAAAGGUU